UACGUAGGGGGCGAGCGUUGUCCGGAUUCAUUGGGCGUAAAGCGCUUUAAGGCGGUUCGCUAAGUCGGGUGUGAAACCUCCAGGCUCAACCUGGAGACGCCACUCGAUACUGGCGUGACUAGAGUUCGGUAGGGGACCACGGAAUUCCUGGUGUAGCGGUGGAAAUGACGCAGAUAUCAGGAGGAACACCAGUGGCGAAGGCGGUGGUCUGGGCCGAUACUGACGCUGUAGAGCGAAAGCGUGGGGAGCGAACAGG
rnacentral:rRNA from 1 species